rnacentral:rRNA from 1 species
GUAGCUGGUCUGAGAGGAUGGCCAGCCACACUGGGACUGAGACACGGUCCAGACUCCUACGGGAGGCAGCAGUGGGGAAUAUUGGACAAUGGGGGCAACCCUGAUCCAGCAAUGCCGCGUGUGUGAAGAAGGCCUGAGGGUUGUAAAGCACUUUCAGUGGGGAGGAGGGUUGWUUGGUUAAGAGCUGAUUAAUUGGACGUUACCCACAGAAGAAGCACCGGCUAACUCCGUGCCAGCAGCCGCGGUAAUACGGAGGGUGCAAGCGUUAAUCGGAAUUACUGGGCGUAAAGGGUGCGUAGGUGGUUUAAUAAGUUAUCUGUGAAAUUCCUGGGCUUAACCUGGGCAGGUCAKAUAAGACUGUUAGACUCGAGUAUGG